AGAGUUUGAUCCUGGCUCAGGAUGAACGCUGGCGGCGUGCUUAACACAUGCAAGUCGAACGAGCCUUCGGGUUAGUGGCGGACGGGUGAGUAACGCGUGGGAAUCUGCCCUCAGGAGGGGGAUAACGGCUGGAAACGGCCGCUAAUACCCCAUAUGCCGAGAGGUGAAAAGAAAUUCGCCUGAGGAUGAGCCCGCGUCUGAUUAGCUAGUUGGUGGGGUAAGAGCUCACCAAGGCGACGAUCAGUAGCUGGUCUGAGAGGAUGAUCAGCCACACUGGGACUGAGACACGGCCCAGACUCCUACGGGAGGCAGCAGUGGGGAAUUUUCCGCAAUGGGCGAAAGCCUGACGGAGCAACGCCGCGUGAGGGAUGAAGGCCUCUGGGCUGUAAACCUCUUUUCUCAAGGAAGAAGACAUGACGGUACUUGAGGAAUAAGCCACGGCUAAUUCCGUGCCAGCAGCCGCGGUAAUACGGGAGUGGCAAGCGUUAUCCGGAAUUAUUGGGCGUAAAGCGUCCGCAGGCGGCCCUGUAAGUCUGUCGUUAAAGUGUGGAGCUUAACCCCAUUUAAGCGAUGGAAACUACAGGGCUUGAGUGUGGUAGGGGCAGAGGGAAUUCCCGGUGUAGCGGUGAAAUGCGUAGAUAUCGGGAAGAACACCAGUGGCGAAGGCGCUCUGCUGGGCCAUAACUGACGCUCAUGGACGAAAGCCAGGGGAGCGAAAGGGAUUAGAUACCCCUGUAGUCCUGGCCGUAAACGAUGAACACUAGGUGUCGGGGGAAUCGACCCCCUCGGUGUCGUAGCCAACGCGUUAAGUGUUCCGCCUGGGGAGUACGCACGCAAGUGUGAAACUCAAAGGAAUUGACGGGGGCCCGCACAAGCGGUGGAGUAUGUGGUUUAAUUCGAUGCAACGCGAAGAACCUUACCAGGGUUUGACAUCCUGCGAAUCCCUUGGAAACGAGGGAGUGCCUUCGGGAGCGCAGAGACAGGUGGUGCAUGGCUGUCGUCAGCUCGUGUCGUGAGAUGUUGGGUUAAGUCCCGCAACGAGCGCAACCCACGUCUUUAGUUGCCAGCAUUCAGUUGGGCACUCUAGAGAGACCGCCGGUGAUAAACCGGAGGAAGGUGUGGAUGACGUCAAGUCAUCAUGCCCCUUACAUCCUGGGCUACACACGUACUACAAUGCUACGGACAAAGGGCAGCAAGCUCGCGAGAGUUAGCAAAUCCCAUAAACCGUGGCUCAGUUCAGAUCGUAGGCUGCAACUCGCCUACGUGAAGGAGGAAUCGCUAGUAAUCGCAGGUCAGCAUACUGCGGUGAAUACGUUCCCGGGCCUUGUACACACCGCCCGUCACACCAUGGAAGUUGGCCAUGCCCGAAGUCGUUACUCCAACCCUC
rnacentral:rRNA from 1 species